UUUUUAAAAAAAGAAGAAAAGAAAAAUGGUGAAUAGAAACCAAGCAGCACAGGAAACGAACACUAGAGUAGACAAAGUAACCACCAUUCCUCAAUUCUAAUCAGAACCAACAAACAUCUCGGUCAAGAAGAGCUCGUCUGUCUGACGAUGAAUGAAGCAGCGUGAGGCACGGAGAGUGCUUCACUGGGCCAGCCGGCCAGGAGUAGAAGCAUAAUGUUGCAUGUCCCGCUGCGCCGCCCCUGCGCCGGGCCGUCCGCCGAUCCGCCGCCGCCGCGGCGUCCCCGUCCCCGUGCCCCAUCGCCGCCGUCGCGCCGCCGCCCCCCGCGCUUUAGGCCACGCCGCCGUGUUUCGCAUCUACGGCGGACCGUGUUCGUCUCAUCUGACUCCGACCUCGUCAGUGAUCAUGAGGUGUCUCGUCAUCCGCUCACCAGUCUGCCAGGCCCCCGUAUGUGGUGUCUUUCUGCUCGACUGCCUCCCCACGACCCUCAAGAUGUCAUAGACUCAUUACCCGCUCAAGAUGUCAUAGACUCAUUACCCGCUCGACGUACUCGCGCUCUCGAGGCUUUUGACGUCUUAACCUCUGGCAUCUCCCAGUACCCACUCAAUGGAAUACUGGAUGGGUAAGAGACAACAAACAUCGAUUGCUGACCAGUGUGUGGAUGGCCUCUGCAAGCACCUAUCCUGGUAAGUGCAGCAACCGAUAUUGUGUUGAAAGCUGACGAAAAUAGAAGGGGAUGACUGGGUGGCUACACAGCUCAGGGUAAGGACCAGUUUGGAGUUGUGCAUCUUCUUUAUGAAAUAUAUUGUGUAUUGCAGUCCUGGCAUUAUUCCAAUAAGGAUAUCUAUCAGUAGGAUCAGCUUGCUGUGUGUUUGCUGCCCCCUUAAUAUUGAAGUCAUAUAUUAUAUAAGUAGUUGACUUCGAUAAAAUAGGAGAACUAAACUUUUAUACAUUUUGAGUGGAUAGGCUUCGAUCAGAUGCUGGAGCUUCUAGCCUAAACAACUGCUGCAAUGGAUGCACUCAGAUUUUCAUGACUGUUGGUUUUGUCCUAUCACUUGAAUUUCCAGUUAAGUCUGAAAUAAUUUGACAAGAUGCAAGCUGCAAGUUAGAUUUCAACCUUACAAUGAGUAUUCGUAGCUUGUGAUGAAUUGGCGCAUGAUUUUCAUUUUGUUUUUUCAUCAAUGUCCUAACUCUUAAGUCCUUACAAGUACAAUGAUUGAGAUUUUCAUUUUUAUAGUGAGUAUUUAUGAUGGUUAGUUCAUUCUCUGAAGUUUCAAAAUGGCUUGAGUACUAAAAAAUAUGCAUUACCUGCAGCUUUGAACUACACUUUCCCCUUCUCUAUAUAUACAAUUUUUGUUGAUUAUUCAUUGAAUGCAGAAACGUGUGCUAUACCAUACAAUGGAAAGUCCAUUAUAUCUUUGUGCUGUAUAACUCAGUGCAGAUAUGCUACGCUGCUCUAAUUUUCCCAAAUAGAUGGAACUGAAAUGCGACUUUGAAGUAUUCUGACACUCUUGCAGUAUCCAAACUCAUUUUAUUAUGGGUUCUUUGUGUCUAAUCUAAAGCAGGUGAGAGCCUAGAGGUUAGCCUGAACAAAGAUUUUACACAUGUCUGACUAAUGACUCACUAUUCCUUCCGAUCUGAUUAAUGCAAUAGCUACGAGGCAACCUGCAGAAACCAAAUAGUGCAAUGGGGCUAGGCUCGGUUUCUAACUGUUCAUACGAUAUUAGUAAACACAGUCAACAAGAUCCUAGAAUUUCCUAUGGGCACACAUGAUAUGUUACCAUUAAAUUAAAUUGCGAAUAGGAAUUGAGUUUGUAGGAUACUUUUGGUCAGCGUGGCUCUUAGGCAACUUCAAUUCACAGUUUGUUAUGCCUCACAUUCAGUUGUGCUAACUCAUUGGAUUGUGGGACAUUCCUUCAAAAUAUAGUCUAAUAUUACUGCACGACCUGUACAAGAUCUUUAGCAUGGUUAGCACAUGGUUAAUGACAUUCCAAUCCAGAUUUUGUGUCUUCUCUGGUGUUUGAGCGCUGCAUAUUUUCCAUUGCAGACAUGUCUUCAACAGCUUUCACCCAACCACUACAGAUUGACUUUAUGAGGAAGAUUCUAGGCAAAGAACCGAGGAUUGACUUUAGAAAUUUUGCUCCCAUGGCUUAUGUCAAGGCUUGAUAUUGUACAACACAGAGAGAUCAAUUUUCGCAUUUUCGAAGGCAGGCGCUCAAGGUCAGGGCUGAUGGCGUUGUGCAUCUAUUGAAAUUGCGGUAUGUCAUGGUGAAGGUUAUGUUAUGUUAUAGUUUGUAAAAUGAGAGAUUUGUGAAUGCCCUAAAACUCAUUGCUGGUUGUAGUUCUCCUUGAAUUUGGAGGUAGUCAUUGUGGCCUAAAAUAAUUCGUGCUGGCUAGGACCUUCACACAAUGGAUGCAGCUAUGAAGGUAUUUUUCUGAUUUGCAGCUUCUAUGGGCUAAAGAAUGGGUGCAUAUACAAGGUGCAAAAAAAUUUGGAAUUUGAGGUUUACAGCACCAGCACAGAGCACAUCUAUCUACAUUAUAGAGAAUGCACGUGAGUUUUUCCAUAGUUCUAUUUUUGUUGAACUUGCAGUAUACAACUAACAUGUGUAGUAAUCUAGCUCUGAUAAGUGGCUUCUGUUGGCAUUGGAAAUUCUGAUUGAUCCAUUUGGCUGGAGAGAUAUCAAUAUAUUUUCAGCACUCAUUGAACUGGCAAAUUUCUAGGAGCACUCUGGCUUCUUUCUAUAAUGAUCUCUGUGCGUGUGAUAUUGGAAUCUGAUCAAACAACUUCAUUAAAUUCGAUAUUGGUGAUCUUAAAACGCUAAGUUUAUGUAUGUUUCUCUUAUUGCAAUGGACGGGCAUAGACCUAGUCAAACUAAAAAUUAUUUCCUGUGUCAUAAUCUGAACCAAACAUUAGCCCCAAAUGUGGUUGUCACCCAAACAUGCAGUGAAGCACGUAAGGUGGGCCCUUCCUUUGGAGAAAAUGAUGCUUCCAGUACAAAAUUUUGCUCCAUUUUAACAUUAAUCUAAGCUUAUGUACACGGAGAUCCAGUGAAGGAGGGCAAUAGUAUCCAUUUUGACAUUGAUACAAACAUAUUGGCAUCGGUACACGCUACAUAGUGAUCUGGUAGAGGACAGUAGUAGUGCAGUGACUACCAAUAUAUACAGCAAAAGGGUGAUCUUUUUAGUUAUGGCAGUACUUCCAGUGGAGAUAAUGUUGCAAAAGAUAAAAUGGUUCUGCUGUUCUGCUCUGACCAUUCUUUGUAGGACCUGCUAUAUACAACAAAAUGUAGUUCCUAUAUAGAGCUACAGAUGUAGUAGGUAGUUUCUGUCCAAGAACAAACUACUCGAUAUGUAGUUCUUACAUUCUGAAGCAUGAUAAUAUCCUGAAAAUGUACCUCUUUGGAUUACUUUGAUUUCUUGUAUAUCAUUUUCAUUGAUGUACCAGAGACAUUCUGCUGCGUCACCUAGGAAAUAAGAGCUUAAUUUUAUGCA